rnacentral:misc_RNA from 1 species
CGCGUUUUCGAAGACUAUGACGCACAUCUUCUCCCCCACCGACUACACACGCACACGCGCGCCUUCACAGAGAGGGAGAGAGACGUAUGAACGUACCUGAAACCGUCUCACCACCGUCAUCGCCAUCCCCCGCGACUGCCCUUUUUGUUUUGCAAUCGCACCCUUACCGUCCACCACGACUAACCCCACGAUGUCGGAGAUGAGCAGGACACGCGACACCAUCAGAAUGCCCCCCCCCCCCCUCUCCCCAUCUCUGACUUGGCGCGUUUAUUGUUGUGAUCCUCAUCUCAUCGUUGACCCGGGCCGUUUUUUUCCCAACCGGCAUCUGUCUAUAUCUUUUUCUCAUGGGCAUAACCAAAGCGGUCACAGGAUCUUAACUUAACGGAAUGGUCGCACCAUCGACAAGGGAGGUGGGAAAAAAAACGCACGCAGACACACAACAACAGAGGGCUGCGCUUGAGGCUGCGCAGCGCAGAAUCACAGGAGAAGAGGUGCGCCGCACAGGCGUGCUGAUACGCACGCACAUACAGCUGAAGUAUCUUUCUGUUGGGGCUGCAGUGAAGACGCCAACGAAGGAGCUAAGGGCGCUGCGUCACGCUGGAUAUCUGUCUACGCGCCAUGAUGCACCCCCAUCCUUUUUCCAGCCGCCACCACUAUCCAUGCUACUGGCACGGCUGCUCUUG